ACGGGUAGCCGGCCUGAGAGGGUGACCGGCCACACUGGGACUGAGACACGGCCCAGACUCCUACGGGAGGCAGCAGUGGGGAAUAUUGCACAAUGGGCGGAAGCCUGAUGCAGCGACGCCGCGUGAGGGAUGACGGCCUUCGGGUUGUAAACCUCUUUCAGUAGGGAAGAAGCGAAAGUGACGGUACCUGCAGAAGAAGCGCCGGCUAACUACGUGCCAGCAGCCGCGGUAAUACGUAGGGCGCAAGCGUUAUCCGGAUUUAUUGGGCGUAAAGAGCUCGUAGGCGGUUUGUCGCGUCUGCCGUGAAAGUCCGAGGCUCAACCUCGGAUCUGCGGUGGGUACGGGCAGACUAGAGUGAUGUAGGGGAGACUGGAAUUCCUGGUGUAGCGGUGAAAUGCGCAGAUAUCAGGAGGAACACCGAUGGCGAAGGCAGGUCUCUGGGCAUUUACUGACGCUGAGGAGCGAAAGCAUGGGGAGCGAACAGGAUUAGAUACCCUGGUAGUCCAUGCCGUAAACGUUGGGCACUAGGUGUGGGGGACAUUCCACGUUUUCCGCGCCGUAGCUAACGCAUUAAGUGCCCCGCCUGGGGAGUACGGCCGCAAGGCUAAAACUCAAAGGAAUUGACGGGGGCCCGCACAGCGGCGGAGCAUGCGGAUUAUUCGAUGCACGCGAAGACCUUACCAGGCUUGACUGUGCCAGACGCUCCAGAGAUGGGGUUCCCUUCGGGCUGGUUCACAGGUGGUCAUGGUUGUCGUCAGCUCGUGUCUGAGAUGUUGGGUAAGUCCGCAACGAGCGCACCCUCGUUCAUGUUGCCAGCACGUAUGGUGGGACUCAUGGGAGACUGCCGGGUCACUCGAAGAAGUGGGAUGACGUCAAUCUCAUGCCCUUAUGUCUUGGGCUUCACGCAUGCUACAUGGCGGUACA
rnacentral:rRNA from 2 species